UACAUUAAAAAGCUUUAAUGUUAUAAACUCAUAGAAUCACAUAAUAUUGAGCUAAAAAAGGACCCUGAGUUCUUUAUAAAAAAAAUAAAAUAAACUAUGGCUUAAAGGGGUUAAAUAAAUGGCCCCAAAUCAGAAAGGCAGCAACAGAUCCAGGACCAGAAUUAAAUUUUUCUUUUCUUUUCUCUUUUUUCUUUUCUUUUCUUUUUUCUUUUCUGAGACAGGGUCUUGCUCUGUCAUCCAUGCUGGAGUGCAGUGGCAUGAUCAUAGCUUACUGUAACCCUGAACUCUUGGGCUUAAGUGAUCCUCCCACCUCAGCCUCCAGAGUAGCUAGGACUUUAGGUACUCAACACUGCUCUUAGCUAAUUUUUAAAAUUUUUGUAGAGACAGCGUCUCACUAUGUUGCCCAGGCUAGUCUCAAACUCCUGGGCUCAAGCUAUCCUCCCACCUGGGCCUCCCAAAGUGCUGGGAUUACAGGUGUGAGUCACGAUGCCUGGUUCAGAACCAAAUUCUACUGAAUCAUUGGAUAUAUAGCAUCUAUUUUUUGAGGCAGAAAUUUCACUGUAAUUCUGGAGAGUAUGCCAAUUUAAAAAGAAAACGCAAUUUUUUCCAGAUUAUGUACUAUUAAGUAAUUUUCAAUUAUAUGACAAAUGAUGAACAUACACAUUUAAGAAGAUAACAUAAAUUGGCCGGGCAUGGUGGCUCACAUCUGUAAUCCCAACACUUUGGGAGGCCGACGUGGGCAGAUCAUGAGGUCAGAAGAUCGAAACCAUCCUGGCUAACAUGGUGAAACCCCAUCUCUACUAAAAAUACAAAAAAUUAGCCUGGCAUGGUGGCACACACCUGUAAUCCCAACACUCGGGAGACUGAGGCAGGGGAGUCACUUGAACCCAAGGGGCAGAGGUUGCAGUGAGCCGAGAUGACAUCACUGCCCUCCAGCCUGGGGAACAGAGUGAGAUUCCAUCUCAAAAAAAAAAAAAAAAAAAGAAAGAAAAAGAAAUAUAACAUAAAUUAAUAUAUGCCUUUAAUACUAAAUUUGCUUAUUUUAAAAAAUUAUAUACAAGCUGAAUCUGAUCCAACUGGCCACAUUACUUCUGGAUUAUUUCACCAUUGUAUUUAUUUCAAAAUAUACUUAUUUCACUGAUGUUUGGUUGGUUUAAAAAAACUUCUUAAAACAUACUUAUUUACUUCAAAUAAUAAUGUAAACACACAAAGUACGAGCUCAAUUUACCCUGUUUUGAAGAAUAUAAGUUGAUACAGUAUACCUAGUACUUUCUGGGGUUGUCUUGUUGUUGUUGUUGUUUUGACAGGGUUUCCAGGCUGAAGUGCAGUGGCAUGAUCAUGGCUCACUGUAACCUCGACCCCCCAGGCUCAAGCAAUCCUCUCACUGCAGCCUCCUGAGUAAUGGGGACUACAGGCAUGUGCCACCAUGCCAGGUAACUUUUUGUAUUUUUUCUAGAGAAGAUGUUUCACCUUGUUUCCCCAGUUGGUCUCCAACUCCUGGGCUCAAGCAAUCCACCUGUCUUAGCUUCCCCAGAGUGCUGAGAUUACAGGUGUGGGCCACUGCACCUAGCCUUGUCUGUUUUUAAAUCCUAGGAACAUUCCAAAAGGGAGCUGUCUUUCUUCAAGAGAAUUUAUAAUAUCAAGCAGCACAUCAUAUGCAAAAAUAUGACACUAUUAUAAUUUAUUUGCUUAUUUAUUUAUACACACCCAAAUCAGAUUUAAGGGCACUUUUAAGAUUACCUAAAAUAUAGUUUAUGUUACACUAAGUGUAAAUAGAAAACUUAUUUUAAGUUUUAUUAAUUCAACAAACAUUGGCUGAGCAUCUCUGUUAGGCAUUAUGUUUUCAAAGAUUAUGUAAAAGGAAAUAAAUUAUUCAAGUGGCUUUAGUAUAGAUACUCACUAAAACAAAUGAGUCAUCACUGAUUUAGAAGACACUGUUGGUAGUUUUACGGAGCUAGCAGGUAUGAUACUUUUAAAAGUAUAUGAUAUAGAAUUAGAAUUUAAAGAUUCCAUUAUCAUCAGAGAUUUCAAAAAAUACAACAUAAAAAUGUCCAAAAGUCCAAAGCAGUGGUUUUCAACUAAAGACGAUGUAGCAAAAUAUCUAAAUAUAUUUUGAGUUGCCACAACUGGAGAGGUGCUACUGGCAUAAUGGGUAAGAGGUCGGGGACGUUGUUAAACAUCCUACAAUGCACAGCACAGCCCUCCACAAUAAAUAGUUAUCUGGCCAAAAAUGUUACUAGUGCUGAGGUUGAGAAAUGCCAGCCUAAAGUGAUUUAAUAUAUGAAAAAUGAUGUAGAUAGGACAAAAGUUUCACACUUCACAUAAAAUUCCAUAUUACUAUAUAUGUAUAAUUAUAAAGACUAUUAAUGGCACUUUUUUAUGAAUAGCA
rnacentral:lncRNA from 1 species